rnacentral:lncRNA from 1 species
UAAGUUUUGUCAUAGAAUUGCCACAUUAGGUAAGUAACUCAAAGACUCACGGUUUUGGCUCAGAUCAGAGACAAUGGUUGAUACUCGUCUAGGGAUCUUCUGUCCACUCUGGAACCAGUCCUCCAUGAAACGCGCUGCUGCGCCUUUGUUAUCUCCACUAAUCAAAGAGUUAGUCCUGCUCAUGGAAGUCCCAUGAGUAGCAAACCAGUUAAAGCUACCAAUAGGUCCCAACUUUGAAUCGACAAACUUGAGGAGCGUCAUUUCUUUGUCGACGUUAUACUUAUAUUUGCUCCUCUCAUCUGCAGGGUUGUUCAGAUAAGAACUAGGACUUCUGUUCACACCAGCAUCCAAAAGGUCCCCUAAUAUUUACACACACACAUAAAGUGAUUUAACUAAAGCAAGAACUUAAUUUGUCUGAAAGCACCCUUAAAGAAGCCAAUUUUUAAAAAAUCGCUAUGCGGUAGUCAGGCGGUUUAUAUGAGAUUAUUGAUUAGGCAGAACAGACUUUUUAAAUGUCUAGAUCGAUUUUUAUUUAAUGUCAAGACCGAUUUAAAAAAAAAAUUGUUUUAGAAAAAUAGUUUCGUUUAGAUUCGAUUUGUCAACUAGGCAGAUGCUUACAAGCCACUAUACCGAUUUUUAGAACACUAUAAGACAAAAGAAAGUACCUUUGUUGACAAAAACAGAACCAGGACGUAGACUUUGGUGAGCUUGCAUGAUGGCUUGCUCAAUGCCAUCAACAAGAACGUCAAAAGACUGACGAACGAAUCCAAGGGACGUGACAAUGUAAGUGACGUACUGAAGAUACCCUCCUGGUCCAGCAUGAGUGUGGAUCCCACUUAUUGCAACGUUCUUCUCUGUGUAAAGAUCACCAUAUCUACAAAAUGAAAUUAUUACAACAUUCUUGUAGAUUAGUUCAAAAUAACACUGACACUGUGCUUAUUGGUCGUUACCUUGCCUUGAGUCGCUCAAGAACUUUGAUGGUAACGAUCUGAGACGCCAUACACGCGUCAAGAUUCACAAACGCGACGCGGUUACCUUGAGGCUCAGCGACGAUGAAGGCACGAGCUCGCAGACGGAAAUGGAUCCCUGAGGCGAUUUGCUCGGAGUUAGCGUAUCCCAUCAUGUUGACGUCAGCGGCUGGACCGGUGAUGUCAUAGCUUCCCACGCCGAUUAAGUACUCGGAAGACGAAAGAACGGCUCUAGUUAAGAGAAGAGACAGUAGAAACUGAAACGACAAUGGAACUGAGACAGCCAUGUUUUGGAGAGAGGAGGAAGAAGGGAGUUGAUGAUGUGUUCUACUCCUAUGAUUGUCUUUACAACAAGUUAAAAGCCUAUGACACAAAACUUAGGUGUUGGAGUGAGGUGAAAGGUGUUAAAACAUUGUUGCCCACUAACAAAAGUUUAGUUUGGUGGCCACGCGUUGUGAAUUACGGUGGGAACUUGCUUUUCUUGUAUCAGAAAAGGAUUUGUAGAAUAGAAGAGCAUUGGUGUGCGGAGAUUGCAUUGGAAAGACGUCAAGAUGGUGAGAUUUGGGGUAAAGUCGAGUGGUCCGAUGUUGUAAUUGUCGGUGAUUUUUGCUUAAUAGAAUCUCUAGUUGCUACGUUUUGAUGCAUGUUCUCUAGAUGCUAUGUUUUGAUGCAUGAAGCUCUCCUUCAUAUUACUUAAGACUGUGCUUUUUUUUUUUUUAGUUUGGGUAUUUUAAAACUACGAAGAGGCUCAUACUAAUUCCUCAAGGGAAAGUGUAAUUCAUGGAAGCAUCAUCUCAUAUAUGCUUAGCCACACAAUUUUAGUGUUGUAGUCCAUAUACGAGUAGUCCACCCAAUGUGGUUAACUUAUUGUGAUUUGAAAUUUCUUUUCAUCACUUUUUUUAUUUUAUAAAUGAUAUAAUCAUGCACUGAUAUGUUACGUUAAGUAAAAUGUCAUACAACUACAAAGGCGCUAGAAGAACCAGAGAAGCUUGUAAUGGAUCCAACAAGCGACUUAGAAGCUCCGUAAUGUCUUAAUCUAUAAACUCCAGCCACCGCAGACUCAGGUAUCCUCCACUCCACCGUGGCUUGGCUCUCAGGGCUAAGCUUCCCCGGUCUCGACCACUUAAACUUCACACUGAAGUCAUCGUCGUCAUACACUGGUACCCACUUCUCUCCACGUAGCGUCUCCACAACAGCGAAAGAUCCUUCCGUCAUCAGGUCGUUUCUUGGACAUCCCGACCAAAACGUAGCGUUGACUUGUUGGCCUCUCACGAACGUUGACUUGGGAGGCACGUCAGCUUUAACAUCACCGAAGCUGACUCCUAUAGGAGUGGAGUCAACUACCACAGGGGAUAGUAAACUGAUCUGGUUGUCUAAAAGGUCUGGUGGUAAGGGCCCACUCGGGAGUGUUUGACCGUUGACCAAAGCUGUGGCUAGUUUCUUGAACUCUUGGAUAUAAGCGGUGAGUGUGUGUGGGCCGUAUAGCGUCGAAGCUCCCUCGUAUCUUUGAACCUCGUACUCCUCGAAAGUUGCAAUGUACUGAGAAUACGUGUUGGUGAGACCUGCGAUUACCACAUGGAGGUUGUUGCCAAACUGCUUGCUGUCUAAAGAGAUGAGAAAUGACUUCACAGCAUCACGGAGACGCCUUCCAGCCAUUGUGGUGAACUCUGUGUCAAAUUAUAAGCUUCAUUAGGGGACUAAAGAAGGUUUAUGAUGAGAACAAAAGAGAGUCUCAUUGACAUACCUCCAGGGACACUGAGGAUGAUUAGUUGACCAAUGCGAAACAUCUGAACCGGAAGAAUCGAAGGCUGCAUGGUUCAGGCAAGUAACAACCCAUCAAUAGUCUAUAGUUUCAAACAGGACGGUCUAAUAGCAUGUGCAAAUAGAACAGUUGAACAGAGUCCCGAGUCUUAAAAAUUACAAAAAAUUUGAGAUAUUUUCAAAAAUAUAUACAUAAAUUAUGAUAUAGAACUGCCCUGAUUAAUAUAUCAUUAAUAUUAUUUUGAACAAGACAAUAAUUUGAGACGGCCCUGAUUUCAAAUGCUUAUUACAUAAAACAAAGAAUAUAGCCACUCACCGCCCAGUCAUAUGGUGUCUUCAUCUCACCAGUGUCAAGUAAAAUAGGUUUUGGUUUCUGACAUUGGAUCUGGUCCGGACCAGGAGUUGUUAACACGUUCCUCACUAAUCUCCAAAACGCAUUACCCUUUAAAGAAAAGAGAUUUUUUAGUUAGAGAAAGAAAGAUUCAGAGUUAAGAAGCUUAUUAGUUACCUUAUCAUCUCCUUGUUUGAAAUCAAAAGCACCAGGACCAUCAGUUGUUCCAGCAGCAAAACCAAACCCCAUUGCAGCUGGACAUGUCUUCACCGUCUCUGAACCACCACCUGCUUUAGGAACCGUGACUUCAAGGUUUGAGAAAUCUACAUACUCAUGUUGGUAACCAAUCUUCCCCUCUAACUUCUCAGUAGCUUUGUUGAAUAGUCCCACCGCCAUUUUGAACUGCCUUUCUCCAAUGAUACGUGUACUCUCAAACUCAUCAGGGUACCCGGGACCACGGCCAUAGCACAGCUCGUUCUUUCCGUUGCAUGUACUGUGAUUGAAGUCACAAGGCAGUCCAGUGUCUAUGCAAAACGUACCAAGAACAUUUGGACUGACGUCACCACAGUUUGAUUGACAGAAGGCAGAGACGAAUGACGCCUUUCUUACUCGGACUUUAGCAUCAAGACACUGUCCUCUAGAUGACUUAUAAGAAGCUGCAAUAUCCAAAAGCCUGCUGUCUGAAAAGUACACAAAAAACAUAACUUACAUCAUGAUAAGUUUUGUCAUAGAAUUGCCACAUUAGGUAAGUAACUCAAAGACUCACGGUUUUGGCUCAGAUCAGAGACAAUGGUUGAUACUCGUCUAGGGAUCUUCUGUCCACUCUGGAACCAGUCCUCCAUGAAACGCGCUGCUGCGCCUUUGUUAUCUCCACUAAUCAAAGAGUUAGUCCUGCUCAUGGAAGUCCCAUGAGUAGCAAACCAGUUAAAGCUACCAAUAGGUCCCAACUUUGAAUCGACAAACUUGAGGAGCGUCAUUUCUUUGUCGACGUUAUACUUAUAUUUGCUCCUCUCAUCUGCAGGGUUGUUCAGAUAAGAACUAGGACUUCUGUUCACACCAGCAUCCAAAAGGUCCCCUAAUAUUUACACACACACAUAAAGUGAUUUAACUAAAGCAAGAACUUAAUUUGUCUGAAAGCACCCUUAAAGAAGCCAAUUUUUAAAAAAUCGCUAUGCGGUAGUCAGGCGGUUUAUAUGAGAUUAUUGAUUAGGCAGAACAGACUUUUUAAAUGUCUAGAUCGAUUUUUAUUUAAUGUCAAGACCGAUUUAAAAAAAAAAUUGUUUUAGAAAAAUAGUUUCGUUUAGAUUCGAUUUGUCAACUAGGCAGAUGCUUACAAGCCACUAUACCGAUUUUUAGAACACUAUAAGACAAAAGAAAGUACCUUUGUUGACAAAAACAGAACCAGGACGUAGACUUUGGUGAGCUUGCAUGAUGGCUUGCUCAAUGCCAUCAACAAGAACGUCAAAAGACUGACGAACGAAUCCAAGGGACGUGACAAUGUAAGUGACGUACUGAAGAUACCCUCCUGGUCCAGCAUGAGUGUGGAUCCCACUUAUUGCAACGUUCUUCUCUGUGUAAAGAUCACCAUAUCUACAAAAUGAAAUUAUUACAACAUUCUUGUAGAUUAGUUCAAAAUAACACUGACACUGUGCUUAUUGGUCGUUACCUUGCCUUGAGUCGCUCAAGAACUUUGAUGGUAACGAUCUGAGACGCCAUACACGCGUCAAGAUUCACAAACGCGACGCGGUUACCUUGAGGCUCAGCGACGAUGAAGGCACGAGCUCGCAGACGGAAAUGGAUCCCUGAGGCGAUUUGCUCGGAGUUAGCGUAUCCCAUCAUGUUGACGUCAGCGGCUGGACCGGUGAUGUCAUAGCUUCCCACGCCGAUUAAGUACUCGGAAGACGAAAGAACGGCUCUAGUUAAGAGAAGAGACAGUAGAAACUGAAACGACAAUGGAACUGAGACAGCCAUGUUUUGGAGAGAGGAGGAAGAAGGGAGAGUAGUGAUAGAUCUUUAAGAGGAGAAAGAUUUCACACGAGAAGUGAUUGUGAGAGAGAAUACGCCAUGAAAGAUUGAAACUUUGCAAAAGCGUGAGUGGGAGAGAGAGAGAAAAGGUGAAUAAAAUUUUCAAAUGUGGAAGCGAGUGGAUGUCGGUAGUGAAACUUCACACUCUGUCAAACCUUAUUUGUUUCUAUUUAUACUAAUCUUGUAUAUUAUGGUUUCAUAUUAGUUUAAAUAGAUCGUGUUUAUUACUGACUAAUUAUCUAUGGUUUGAUGAUGAUGAUAUUAGUUUUUUUACGCGUUUAACGCAUACAUCCUCGAAAUGAGGUUCUUGACAAUAGAUUAAUUUUAUUUUAAUGUUAUUUGAAAAUCAAGCCAAGCCACUUAAAAUCUGGCACAACAUGGUUAGCGAGAUUUCCUCGGAGAACCCGUUUCUUGUUUCUGUCCACUUUUUCAAUUAUUCUCCUAAAUCUAUUAAAAUCUCCACCAAUGACCUUGCUCUAAAAUGCAUCCAAAAUACUACAUAACUAUCACAUUAAAUUUUGUACUAUGGAAAAAGGAGAUGAACAUAGUUACUGCAGAGGUUACAAAUACUAGUAUUGGUUUUUAUAAAUUGUUUGAAUUGAAUAAUAACAUGUUUUAGUUGUUGAUACGCACCCAUCACCCAUGUGAUUCCUCUUGGAGCUGCAUACAUCCAUGUGAACGUGUUAAAACUCUUUGCUUGUCUUGGUAAUAAACUCUUAAAGACGUUCAGUCAUUGACCAUACAUAAGUGGCAAGUGCAAUAAUCAUUCUCUGAUACACGUACUUGCAAAAUCAGAGGUGGGUGAAAUCCUCAACCGUUUCACACGGAAACAAACUUAAUGACCCGAUCUUAUCCGGAUCCGACCAGACUCAACCCGACAAGUAAAUCUCUUCCGUCCCUGUUUCGUGUAAUGAUCACGAGAAAGAAAGUAACAAAAAAAUAAUAGGAUCGGAAUUGACUUUGGCGUUUCCUUACUCUCUAAGAAAAAAAAAAUCUCUUCUUUCUUCUCUUCUAUCGGUUUCUGAUAAGCACAAAGAGAGAGACUCGUGAUCAAUGGAGAAGCCUCUGCUUUCAGGUAAUUCAAUUCAAUAAAGAACCAAACUUUCUCCUCCUCUGUUUUUUAAAUUAUCUCAUCAUUUAUUAUUGGAUCAGAUAAUAAAACUAAGGAACCAGAGAGAUGGGAUUCGUACCAAUACCUUCAGAGAAACAUCUCCUCUGCUCGUAACAACGUCUCUUUCACCGGAGCUGGCGUCACCGUCGAGGAAGUCCGUUCCGCUUCCGCUGUUUCCGAUCCUCCGCCUCUCUACCCUCCCGUUCUAACCACCCCCGUCUCGUUGCCCACUCGUAAGUCUCUCCGACUUUGACCCUUAAAAGUCUGAAAGUUUCAUCCUUUUUGUCGGCUCUGUUUCACAGCGGAAGCUAUUGGCUACCCGAGUGCGUCUGGAGCAGGUCAUGAACUGCAAAGGUACAAAGGUUCCUACUUUUAGUCUCAUUGCUCUUGUUAGGAUUCAAAGAUUGAAGCUUUUACAUUUAUCUCAGGCAGGUGCUUGAUGAGAUUGAGAUAAGAGAGCUGCUGAUUGAUCACAUCGGCCACCGUUGCUGUUGGGGAAGCCGUCCAGCUCGCACGUGGAGGAUCCGUGCGGUCGAAGACUGCAAUGUCUAUGUCGGAACUCUCGACACUUUUAUCGAAGAGAGGGAAGCUUUAACACAGACAGUGCCUUUCAACGGUGGGAACUUCGAACAUGGAUCUGCUCCUGAGUUAUGGCAAAUAGACCUGAGGUCGCAGUUUCCAACUCUCUUUGUUCCUUACAAAGAGACUCGAGUCCCGGUUCCUCAUUCUGAGACUGUUGACAAGUGCACUGGUAAGACUCUUUCUUAUGUCUUUAGUGAUUGUUAGGAUGAUGCUGAAGAGGGCAUUUUUGAUUAAUAGGUUGCGGAUCAAAAGACUGACGAACGAAUCCAAGGGACGUGACAAUGUAAGUGACGUACUGAAGAUACCCUCCUGGUCCAGCAUGAGUGUGGAUCCCACUUAUUGCAACGUUCUUCUCUGUGUAAAGAUCACCAUAUCUACAAAAUGAAAUUAUUACAACAUUCUUGUAGAUUAGUUCAAAAUAACACUGACACUGUGCUUAUUGGUCGUUACCUUGCCUUGAGUCGCUCAAGAACUUUGAUGGUAACGAUCUGAGACGCCAUACACGCGUCAAGAUUCACAAACGCGACGCGGUUACCUUGAGGCUCAGCGACGAUGAAGGCACGAGCUCGCAGACGGAAAUGGAUCCCUGAGGCGAUUUGCUCGGAGUUAGCGUAUCCCAUCAUGUUGACGUCAGCGGCUGGACCGGUGAUGUCAUAGCUUCCCACGCCGAUUAAGUACUCGGAAGACGAAAGAACGGCUCUAGUUAAGAGAAGAGACAGUAGAAACUGAAACGACAAUGGAACUGAGACAGCCAUGUUUUGGAGAGAGGAGGAAGAAGGGAGAGUAGUGAUAGAUCUUUAAGAGGAGAAAGAUUUCACACGAGAAGUGAUUGUGAGAGAGAAUACGCCAUGAAAGAUUGAAACUUUGCAAAAGCGUGAGUGGGAGAGAGAGAGAAAAGGUGAAUAAAAUUUUCAAAUGUGGAAGCGAGUGGAUGUCGGUAGUGAAACUUCACACUCUGUCAAACCUUAUUUGUUUCUAUUUAUACUAAUCUUGUAUAUUAUGGUUUCAUAUUAGUUUAAAUAGAUCGUGUUUAUUACUGACUAAUUAUCUAUGGUUUGAUGAUGAUGAUAUUAGUUUUUUUACGCGUUUAACGCAUACAUCCUCGAAAUGAGGUUCUUGACAAUAGAUUAAUUUUAUUUUAAUGUUAUUUGAAAAUCAAGCCAAGCCACUUAAAAUCUGGCACAACAUGGUUAGCGAGAUUUCCUCGGAGAACCCGUUUCUUGUUUCUGUCCACUUUUUCAAUUAUUCUCCUAAAUCUAUUAAAAUCUCCACCAAUGACCUUGCUCUAAAAUGCAUCCAAAAUACUACAUAACUAUCACAUUAAAUUUUGUACUAUGGAAAAAGGAGAUGAACAUAGUUACUGCAGAGGUUACAAAUACUAGUAUUGGUUUUUAUAAAUUGUUUGAAUUGAAUAAUAACAUGUUUUAGUUGUUGAUACGCACCCAUCACCCAUGUGAUUCCUCUUGGAGCUGCAUACAUCCAUGUGAACGUGUUAAAACUCUUUGCUUGUCUUGGUAAUAAACUCUUAAAGACGUUCAGUCAUUGACCAUACAUAAGUGGCAAGUGCAAUAAUCAUUCUCUGAUACACGUACUUGCAAAAUCAGAGGUGGGUGAAAUCCUCAACCGUUUCACACGGAAACAAACUUAAUGACCCGAUCUUAUCCGGAUCCGACCAGACUCAACCCGACAAGUAAAUCUCUUCCGUCCCUGUUUCGUGUAAUGAUCACGAGAAAGAAAGUAACAAAAAAAUAAUAGGAUCGGAAUUGACUUUGGCGUUUCCUUACUCUCUAAGAAAAAAAAAAUCUCUUCUUUCUUCUCUUCUAUCGGUUUCUGAUAAGCACAAAGAGAGAGACUCGUGAUCAAUGGAGAAGCCUCUGCUUUCAGGUAAUUCAAUUCAAUAAAGAACCAAACUUUCUCCUCCUCUGUUUUUUAAAUUAUCUCAUCAUUUAUUAUUGGAUCAGAUAAUAAAACUAAGGAACCAGAGAGAUGGGAUUCGUACCAAUACCUUCAGAGAAACAUCUCCUCUGCUCGUAACAACGUCUCUUUCACCGGAGCUGGCGUCACCGUCGAGGAAGUCCGUUCCGCUUCCGCUGUUUCCGAUCCUCCGCCUCUCUACCCUCCCGUUCUAACCACCCCCGUCUCGUUGCCCACUCGUAAGUCUCUCCGACUUUGACCCUUAAAAGUCUGAAAGUUUCAUCCUUUUUGUCGGCUCUGUUUCACAGCGGAAGCUAUUGGCUACCCGAGUGCGUCUGGAGCAGGUCAUGAACUGCAAAGGUACAAAGGUUCCUACUUUUAGUCUCAUUGCUCUUGUUAGGAUUCAAAGAUUGAAGCUUUUACAUUUAUCUCAGGCAGGUGCUUGAUGAGAUUGAGAUAAGAGAGCUGCUGAUUGAUCACAUCGGCCACCGUUGCUGUUGGGGAAGCCGUCCAGCUCGCACGUGGAGGAUCCGUGCGGUCGAAGACUGCAAUGUCUAUGUCGGAACUCUCGACACUUUUAUCGAAGAGAGGGAAGCUUUAACACAGACAGUGCCUUUCAACGGUGGGAACUUCGAACAUGGAUCUGCUCCUGAGUUAUGGCAAAUAGACCUGAGGUCGCAGUUUCCAACUCUCUUUGUUCCUUACAAAGAGACUCGAGUCCCGGUUCCUCAUUCUGAGACUGUUGACAAGUGCACUGGUAAGACUCUUUCUUAUGUCUUUAGUGAUUGUUAGGAUGAUGCUGAAGAGGGCAUUUUUGAUUAAUAGGUUGCGGAGGAAGAGGAGAAGUAGUGUGUCCAACGUGCAAUGCUGAUGGAGAGCCUGGGUUUUACAAGGAGAAUCAGGUGAUGAAGUGUUCUAAGUGUUAUGGAAGAGGUUUGAUUGCUCAUAAAGAUGGAUCUGACUCAAUGUAAAGUCUCAUUUCAAGAACUCGAAACUUUCAGUCUGUCUGAUGAGUGCAUAUGCAAACUGUAAACCUUCUUUUUUUUUUCUCACAGAUGUGGAGAAUGUAAUGGUGGGGGAAAGCUUCCUUGUCCGAAUUGCCAAUCUCGUGGGUUAGUCAAAUGCGAGACUUGUGACGGUUCUGGCUCUCUUCUGACAAGCAGCAUUGCAGUUGUAAAAUGGUAAGGUCUUUUAUCAGUAAAUGAAAUUUGGUCUGAGUGGCAAACUAAAAGAUAAACAUAGGCAUUUCGGGUAUUGGUUCGGGUUUUAGUUGGGUAGUUUGGGUCUAAUACCCGGAAAAAAUUGGUUUCCGUUUGUUCGGUUCGGUUAUUUCGGGUAAUUUGGUAAAAUAUUGGGUACGUCGGAUAAAAUAUUGAGUAAUUAGGAUGAUUCGGAUAGAAUAAUUUGGAUUAUUUUAGAUAUUUAGGAUUAAAGUAUUCAAAUACUUUUGGAUACUGAUAAUAGCUUUUUAAUAUAUAUUUAGGUAUGUUAAAAAUAUCUUUAGAUAUUGGUUCGGUUUUCGGUGCAGUUAUUUUAGAUAUAGAAAUAUAGGAACUGUUCGGUUAUUCCACGGUUUUAGUAUUUCUUUUCCAGUUCUGGUUAUUUUUUGCCCAAGCCUACUAAAAGACUUGAUUUUUAUUUUUGCGUUUCGACAGGAAGACACUGUCAAAGCGAAAGGUGAGUGCAACGAGAGGAGCUGGCUCUGUACCAGAAGAAGUGUUUCACAGAGCAGAAGGUGUUCAGCUUUGCAACACACAAGCUUACCAGUGCACACCAGCUUACUUUGCAGACUCAUACUUCCUAAACAAGUUCUCCUCAGAAGUCAUCUCGUUGAGAGCUGAAGUUCCACCAACGGCGAAUGUUGUCUGCGAGAGGCACGCCAUAUCUGUUGUGCCUGUGACACGCGUCACGAUGGAAGAUCGUGGGAAAGCCUUCAACUUUUACAUUAUCGGUUUUGGUAAAGAGAUUUACAUGAAAGAUUAUUACCCAGCUAGGUUCUGCUGGGGGUUGUGUCCUUGUCUUGAGUGGUUAAAAGUUUGAAAACACACAGAGUUGGUCUUUUGAACUUCUCUACUUUGAAUGUAAGAAACACGGAAUAAGGAAAGAGAUUGCAUGUACACAAAACAUAGCAUCAUUAGCAUGCAAUGCAAUGUGUGGUUUAUACAUAUAUAUGAUAGUUUGAAAAUGUGUACAUGAUGAUAGUCUUAACUAAUCCUAAGAAGUGAAAAAGUGAAGAACAAGAGGACAUCAACGGGACUUGUCCGUAUUAAUUCUCCUCUCACUGGAACCUUUUUGUAACAAGAGUAGGCUUCUGGUUUGGUUCUCGGUUCAAUUCAGCAAUUAAAGAAAAAUAAUCUUCGGUUCAGUAAACCGUUAGUCCACAUUUUCUUUUAAAAUAUUUUUCUUUACCAAACUAAUAUAAAAAUUCAAAUCAAACUAACUAAACUUAACCUAAUUUAAAAAAAUAUUUAACUAGUGGUGGGUCUCCAAGAUCCUUUCGACGACCUUUUAAACCGGAAUUUAAUCAAUUCAAAAAUUUUGGUUAAAUUCAGUAUAAAUUUUGAAACUAAACUAACCGGAAAUCAAACCAAUUUUUCCGGUUCAAUUUACAGGCAAACCAAACUAAAUGAAUUCCAAACUAACCAACUCGAAAAGACCAAACUAACAGAAUCCAAAUGCCUACAAGAUAGAUUGCUUUCUACAAACUUAUAGUUCUAAAUUGUGUUCUGGUAUACGAAAUAAAAUCUUGUAACAUCUUGUUAUGAGAUAGGGAGAGCAGUAAAUAAAACAAGGUGGGAGUCUCUUCACUUGGCUUUGUUGGCAUAAGGCUUCUUCUUGGUAAUAUCUUUCUUAGCUUUCAACUUAUCUGAUCAUUUAGGAUUAAAGUAUUCAAAUACUUUUGGAUACUGAUAAUAGCUUUUUAAUAUAUAUUUAGGUAUGUUAAAAAUAUCUUUAGAUAUUGGUUCGGUUUUCGGUGCAGUUAUUUUAGAUAUAGAAAUAUAGGAACUGUUCGGUUAUUCCACGGUUUUAGUAUUUCUUUUCCAGUUCUGGUUAUUUUUUGCCCAAGCCUACUAAAAGACUUGAUUUUUAUUUUUGCGUUUCGACAGGAAGACACUGUCAAAGCGAAAGGUGAGUGCAACGAGAGGAGCUGGCUCUGUACCAGAAGAAGUGUUUCACAGAGCAGAAGGUGUUCAGCUUUGCAACACACAAGCUUACCAGUGCACACCAGCUUACUUUGCAGACUCAUACUUCCUAAACAAGUUCUCCUCAGAAGUCAUCUCGUUGAGAGCUGAAGUUCCACCAACGGCGAAUGUUGUCUGCGAGAGGCACGCCAUAUCUGUUGUGCCUGUGACACGCGUCACGAUGGAAGAUCGUGGGAAAGCCUUCAACUUUUACAUUAUCGGUUUUGGUAAAGAGAUUUACAUGAAAGAUUAUUACCCAGCUAGGUUCUGCUGGGGGUUGUGUCCUUGUCUUGAGUGGUUAAAAGUUUGAAAACACACAGAGUUGGUCUUUUGAACUUCUCUACUUUGAAUGUAAGAAACACGGAAUAAGGAAAGAGAUUGCAUGUACACAAAACAUAGCAUCAUUAGCAUGCAAUGCAAUGUGUGGUUUAUACAUAUAUAUGAUAGUUUGAAAAUGUGUACAUGAUGAUAGUCUUAACUAAUCCUAAGAAGUGAAAAAGUGAAGAACAAGAGGACAUCAACGGGACUUGUCCGUAUUAAUUCUCCUCUCACUGGAACCUUUUUGUAACAAGAGUAGGCUUCUGGUUUGGUUCUCGGUUCAAUUCAGCAAUUAAAGAAAAAUAAUCUUCGGUUCAGUAAACCGUUAGUCCACAUUUUCUUUUAAAAUAUUUUUCUUUACCAAACUAAUAUAAAAAUUCAAAUCAAACUAACUAAACUUAACCUAAUUUAAAAAAAUAUUUAACUAGUGGUGGGUCUCCAAGAUCCUUUCGACGACCUUUUAAACCGGAAUUUAAUCAAUUCAAAAAUUUUGGUUAAAUUCAGUAUAAAUUUUGAAACUAAACUAACCGGAAAUCAAACCAAUUUUUCCGGUUCAAUUUACAGGCAAACCAAACUAAAUGAAUUCCAAACUAACCAACUCGAAAAGACCAAACUAACAGAAUCCAAAUGCCUACAAGAUAGAUUGCUUUCUACAAACUUAUAGUUCUAAAUUGUGUUCUGGUAUACGAAAUAAAAUCUUGUAACAUCUUGUUAUGAGAUAGGGAGAGCAGUAAAUAAAACAAGGUGGGAGUCUCUUCACUUGGCUUUGUUGGCAUAAGGCUUCUUCUUGGUAAUAUCUUUCUUAGCUUUCAACUUAUCUGAUCUCCCUGACUUCUUCUUCUCCUUCUUGUCGUUGUACAUGUUUAUCGCCUAACUCACAUAUACAAAUAAUAUCAGAGGCAAGAGACCAAAACCAGAGAGAGAGAGAGAUGAGAAGUUUUUUCGAUUAUACCUUUCCAACAUUGAGGAUCUCAUGUGAAUGCUUAGAUAAUAACUUGCCAAGUACUUUAUUAGUCUGUUCUUUUUCUUCGUCAACCAUUCCGUACCUUGGUACAACCGGUAAAUACUGCAAAAAAAUCCCCACAAAUUAGAAAAUACAAAUUGACUAAAAGGGAAGGUGAAGAUGACUGAUGAGUGAUGACUAACCUUGUGGUGUUUGCCUUGCUUCUUAGGAGGUUUUUCACCAGGCAAUUUUUUUUAUCGAAUUUACCACCACUAGCGGUUGAUGUAGCAGCUAAACCUGCUACAUCACCAAGUGCAUCCUUUCCAAUUUUCUGUGGCUGAGUUUUGGUGCCUGAUAUGGGCGAUGCAGUUACAGCAAGUUGGACAUGGCUGCAAGUAAAACCAUUUUUGAUAUCUAGUUAUCAAAACCAUGUAACAUGUUGUAUGAUGCUUACUAACCAAUAAAAGAAGUUGUUAAUAUUACCUCGGUAAAGCACCAGCUUUUGCAGCAGUCUUCAAGUUCUGUAAUCGAUUCUUUUCUUGCUUUCCAACUCUCUUCUUUUUAUCAUCUAGUCUCUUGGCAAAAGGGUCUUCUCCUGGUUCUGCAGUUAAGCGAACUUGGUUUCAUCAAGAAACUAACAACAUAAUCUAAAGCAAAAGAUAAGAAAUUGUUCUUUUUUUAGCGCAGGACUUACCAUCUAAUGCCUUUGCUUCAGCUGCUGCGCCUUUGUUAUCUCCACUAAUCAAAGAGUUAGUCCUGCUCAUGGAAGUCCCAUGAGUAGCAAACCAGUUAAAGCUACCAAUAGGUCCCAACUUUGAAUCGACAAACUUGAGGAGCGUCAUUUCUUUGUCGACGUUAUACUUAUAUUUGCUCCUCUCAUCUGCAGGGUUGUUCAGAUAAGAACUAGGACUUCUGUUCACACCAGCAUC